ACAAGUUCAAACACUUGAAACA
rnacentral:snRNA from 1 species